GAAGAGGCCUCCGAGUGGCUGAAGGAGCACGCCUGGAAAGUGUGUAUACGGCAACGUAUCGGGGGUUCGAAUCCCCCCCUCACCGCCA
rnacentral:tRNA from 1 species